rnacentral:rRNA from 1 species
CGGGGAAUUCCGAGACAGGUGCUGCAUGGCUGUCGUCAGCUCGUGCCGUGAGGUGGUUGGGUUAAGUCCCGCAACGAGCGCAACCCUAUUGCCAGUUGCUACCAGGUAAUGCUGGGCACUCUGGUGAGACUGCCCCGGUUAACGGGGAGGAAGGUGGGGACGACGUCAAGUCAUCAUGGCCCUUACGCCUAGGGCUACACACGUACUACAAUGGCGCAUACAAAGGGCAGCGAUACCGCGAGGUGGAGCCAAUCCCAAAAAGUGCGUCCCAGUCCGGAUUGCAGUCUGCAACUCGACUGCAUGAAGUUGGAAUCGCUAGUAAUUCGAGAUCAGCAUGCUCGGGUGAAUGCGUUCCCGGGCCUU